UUUCCGUAGGUGAACCUGCGGAAGGAUCAUUACCGUACAACAUGUGUGGGGCAUGCGAGGGCUGUCGCUGACCCAAAAGUCGUGUACGCCCCAGUGUGUCCUCUUGCAUAAUAAUCCAGCUCACCCUUUGUGCAUCACCGCGUGGGGACCCUUCGGGAUCAUCUCGGAGGGGGGCUCGCGUUUUCACACAAACCCCCCUUUUAAAAGUGUAUAAUGACCACAUUUAUGCAAUCAAUACAACUUUCAACAACGGAUCUCUUGGCUCUC
rnacentral:misc_RNA from 1 species